CAGUAAACGGCGGCCGUAACUAUAACGGUCCUAAGGUAGCGAAAUUCCUUGUCGGGUAAGUUCCGACCCGCACGAAAGGCGUAACGAUUUGGGCACUGUCUCAACGAGAGACUCGGUGAAAUCAUAGUACCUGUGAAGAUGCAGGUUACCCGCGACAGGACGGAAAGACCCCGUGGAGCUUUACUGUAGCCUGAUAUUGAAAUUCGGCACAGCUUGUACAGGAUAGGUAGGAGCCUUUGAAACGUGAGCGCUAGCUUACGUGGAGGCGCUGGUGGGAUACUACCCUAGCUGUGUUGGCUUUCUAACCCGCACCACUUAUCGUGGUGGGAGACAGUGUCAAGCGGGCAGUUUGACUGGGGCGGUCGCCUCCUAAAAGGUAACGGAGGCGCUCAAAGGUUCCCUCAGAA
rnacentral:rRNA from 1 species